GUAUUUUUAACUACCAGUGUUUGCCCGAUCGACAUGCCUUGCGCUCUUCUGUGUGUGGGGUCAGGCUGGGUGCUGAGAUGGACGCCGAGAUAAUCAGGGAGGACGGUGAGUCACGGAGCUCACAGCUGGGGCGGAAAUGCAGCUUGCAUUGAUUUACAAAGCAAACUGUGGCCAACCUCUUGCUCGGGGCCCACAGACAAGCAACACUGGGAAAGGACACAGACUUGCUGAAGACCUCUCAGAGACAGAGCUGGCAAAGCACCUUUAGGGCUUUCUCCCUGCAGUGGGUUAGCACAACUUCUGCCUGGCCCUUACUUCCGGUCCCACAGGUCUGAGUGGCCUUGAUCUCUGGUCUUUGACAGCAGAAGUGACAAUGCCUGAUUCGUCCCUCCCAGUCCUCUGUGUUCCUGUUUCCUGGCAAGGUCAGCAGACACAAACCAUUUCUCAUGGCCUCCAUGAACACCAGCCCUGAAAGAGGCUGCAAAGAGAGGAUCCUGACCAAGGCUGUAGAAAAAGAAUCUUUCAAGAACGUAUCUAUCUAUCUAUCGAUAUACACGCAGGCCCUGACAGUGACCCCGGACUGUAGUGCUCUUCAUUACCCAGGAAGUGACAGGGUCAAGAGGAGCCUGACAGCCGCCUCGAGGUUCUGCCCAUGGAUUCCUGGCCAUUGUCUCGGCUCCGUAGCCUGGAGUGGGUCACCACUGCUCCUGGGUUUGUCCGCUGUUCCCAUUUCUUCAUUUCUUCCUCAUUCUUUUUUUAAUUUGAAAAGAAACUCUGGCAUCUUGA